UACAGAGGGGGCAAGCGUUGUUCGGAAUUACUGGGCGUGAAGGGCGCGUAGGCGGCCUGUUAAGUCGAACGUGAAAUCCCCGGGCUCAACCCGGGAACUGCGUCCGAUACUGGCAGGCUUGAAUCCGGGAGAGGGAUGCGGAAUUCCAGGUGUAGCGGUGAAAUGCGUAGAUAUCUGGAGGAACACCGGUGGCGAAGGCGGCAUCCUGGACCGGUAUUGACGCUGAGGCGCGAAAGCCAGGGGAGCAAACGGG
rnacentral:rRNA from 1 species